rnacentral:rRNA from 1 species
GAAGGUGGGGAUGACGUCAAGUCAUCAUGGCCCUUACGACCAGGGCUACACACGUGCUACAAUGGCGCAUACAAAGAGAAGCGACCUCGCGAGAGCAAGCGGACCUCAUAAAGUGCGUCGUAGUCCGGAUUGGAGUCUGCAACUCGACUCCAUGAAGUCGGAAUCGCUAGUAAUCGUGGAUCAGAAUGCCACGGUGAAUACGUUCCCGGGCCUUGUACACACCGCCCGUCACACCAUGGGAGUGGGUUGCAAAAGAAGUAGGUAGCUUAACCUUCGGGAGGGCGCUUACCACUUUGUGAUUCAUGACUGGGGUGAAGUCGUAACAAGGUAACCGUAGGGGAACCUGCGGUUGGAUCACCUCCUUACCUUAAAGAAGC